AGAUUGAACGCUGGCGGCAGGCCUAACACAUGCAAGUCGAGCGGAAACGAGUUAUCUGAACCUUCGGGGAACGAUAGCGGCGUCGAGCGGCGGACGGGUGAGUAAUGCCUAGGAAAUUGCCCUGAUGUGGGGGAUAACCAUUGGAAACGAUGGCUAAUACCGCAUAAUGCCUACGGGCCAAAGAGGGGGACCUUCGGGCCUCUCGCGUCAGGAUAUGCCUAGGUGGGAUUAGCUAGUUGGUGAGGUAAGGGCUCACCAAGGCGACGAUCCCUAGCUGGUCUGAGAGGAUGAUCAGCCACACUGGAACUGAGACACGGUCCAGACUCCUACGGGAGGCAGCAGUGGGGAAUAUUGCACAAUGGGCGCAAGCCUGAUGCAGCCAUGCCGCGUGUGUGAAGAAGGCCUUCGGGUUGUAAAGCACUUUCAGUCGUGAGGAAGGUAGUGUAGUUAAUAGCUGCAUUAUUUGACGUUAGCGACAGAAGAAGCACCGGCUAACUCCGUGCCAGCAGCCGCGGUAAUACGGAGGGUGCGAGCGUUAAUCG
rnacentral:rRNA from 2 species